rnacentral:rRNA from 1 species
AACGAACGCUGGCGGCAGGCCUAACACAUGCAAGUCGAGCGGACCUUUCGGGGUCAGCGGCGGACGGGGGAGUAACGCGUGGGAAGAUGCCCUUCUCUACGGAAUAGUCCUGGGAAACUGGGGGUAAUACCGUAUACGCUCUUCGGGGGAAAGAUUUGUCGUGGUAGGAUUAGCCCGCGUUGGAUUAGGUAGUUGGUGGGGUAAUGGCCUACCAAGCCGACGAUCCAUAGCUGGGUUGAGAGGAUGAUCCGCCACACUGGGACUGGGACACGGCCCAGACUCCUACGGGAGGGAGGAGUGGGGAAUCCUAGACAAUGGGGGCAACCCUGAUCUAGCCAUGCCGCGUGAGUGAUGAAGGCCUUAGGGUUGUAAAGCUCUUUCAGCUGGGACGAUAAUGACGGUACCAGCAGAAGAAGCCCCGGCUAACUCCGUG